rnacentral:rRNA from 1 species
GUACGCUGGCGGCACGCCUAACACAUGCAAGUCGAACGAAGUAGCAAUACUUAGUGGCAGACGGGUGAGUAACAUGUAGGUAUCUUCCCUUUGGCCUGGAAUAACACGAGGAAACUUGUGCUAAUACCGGAUAAGUCUUUACGGAGAAAGCUUUAUGCACCAUUGGAUGAGCCUGCACUUGAUUAGUUUGUUGGUGGGGUAAUGGCCUACCAAGACUUUGAUCAAUAGCUGAUUUGAGAGGAUGAUCAGCCACAUUGGGACUGAGACACGGCCCAAACUCCUACGGGAGGCAGCAGUGGGGAAUCUUGCACAAUGGAGGAAACUCUGAUGCAGCGAUGCCGCGUGAGUGAAGAAGGCCUUUGGGUUGUAAAGCUCUUUCGUCGGGGAAGAAAAUGACUGUACCCGAAUAAGAAGGUCCGGC